GGACGGGUGAGUAACGCGUAGGAAUCUACCGAGUAGUGGGGGACAACAGUUGGAAACGACUGCUAAUACCGCAUAAUCCCUGAGGGGGAAAGGAGGGGAUCUGUUUACAGACCUUUCGCUAUUUGAUGAGCCUGCGUGAGAUUAGCUAGUUGGUGAGGUAAUGGCUCACCAAGGCGACGAUCUCUAGCUGGUCUGAGAGGAUGAUCAGCCACACUGGAACUGAGACACGGUCCAGACUCCUACGGGAGGCAGCAGUGGGGAAUAUUGCACAAUGGGGGAAACCCUGAUGCAGCCAUGCCGCGUGUGUGAAGAAGGCCUUCGGGUUGUAAAGCACUUUCAGCGAGGAGGAAAGGAGUAUGUUUAAUAAACGUGCUCUGUGACGUUACUCGCAGAAGAAGCACCGG
rnacentral:rRNA from 1 species